UAUCAGAAUUUUUUUAUCUAACAAAAGUCUUAAUGAUUCAAUUGAAUUUCCGUGGAAUUAUUGCACAAUAAAUGAUUAUGUUAUCGAGAGCCAGAUAGAUAAAAGUUAAACAAUAAUAAAUAGCAUAAACAUACACUUCAAGAGUAUCAAAUAGAAUCCUGUUUCCAACGAAGGUAAUCAAAAGCACAUUUUGGUUUGAAGAUUCUGCAGAUGUAAUCUCUUUUAUCAACAGAGGUUAUUUCACAAGUCCACAUACAGGUCGAUAGAUAAAAUUUCACUUUCUUUAUCAAAACAGAAUAAAAGUUUCCUUAUACAAACAGAAUAGCAAUCUACAAAACUAGCUUCACAUCUUGGUUCUUCCCCGAUCAAGCUACUUUUUUGUUAUCAUUGGAAUUUUUAAAUUUAAAUUUUAAUCAUCAGAUUCGAUGCAAAUAUUUUAUAUGAUAAUAUGUAUAUUGGUGCGUCAAAAGUUGGGCACCAUCCUGGAUCCAGGCGGCCUCCAUUCAGAAGGUCGACAACUCAAAUCGACUGUCCGGCAACAAAAAUGAUUUUUCGCAAAGGUGAUGAUA